CCCAACACAACGCAGUCCCACAAGGGACCUUCAGUGGCCGGUUCCAGCCAUGAUGGAGUUCCAGGCUGGGGUAUCGCCCUGCUGGUGCUGGCCUCUGUGAUCCUGCUUCUCCUCCUCAUAUUCUUCAUCCUUGCGCUCUGGCGCUGGUGCUGUCGUCAGGAAGAGACUAGCCCUACAGACGUGACAGGAGAGCCGAAUCCCUAUGAGAAGCUGAAUGGAGAGCCCAGUGCCCCUGAAUUCCAAUCAAAGGACCUCAAUGGAAAGAUCUAUCCGGAGGAUUUCGAUAAACCCAAGAAAAACCGAACUGGGAUGUAUGUAGUCAACCCCUGACCACGUGCUUGCUGGUUCAAGAUAAUGAAAACAAAAACGUUUUUAUGCCACGGAGGAAAGGGUGGAGCCCCUGAUCAGCGAGUACAGGCAUCCUCUGGAAGAAGGCCUCCGUCUCUAACAUCCCACA